GCUGUUGUGGUAUAGUGGUUUGAGUGUUGAACUACAACUCUGGAAACCAGGGUUCAAUUCCCUGCUUGGCCA
rnacentral:tRNA from 1 species